rnacentral:lncRNA from 1 species
UCGAAUUCAAAGAAAUACAUAAGAAAUCCAAUAGAUACAACUUUAUCUCUGGAACUAGUAAAGACAUAGUCUAAUGAUAGAGAAAGAUAGUAGAAGAUAUCCAGAUGCCUGAAGAUCAUCCACUACCUUGAAAGCUCCAACAAUCGCUAGAGUCAAGUAACAUGGGACACACUCGAACCUGAAUCUGCACCUGAAAGGUGCAAUAGGAGUGAGUACGGUCCACUUAUACUCAGUAGGUACCAUAGGCCGAUUGAGGAAAGUAGAAAAUAAAACAUAAAAAAUAAACACUAGGGAAAUGUCACUUGUAAUUAGAAAUUAUCCCACAAUGGUAGCCCAAACCCCUUGCACAAACAGUUCUAAUAUAUUAUAUAUAUUGCAACAAAUACAGAAAAGACCACAAGUGUACAAUAUGCCACAUACAAGUAGGAUAAGGAAGGACAAUAUACAUACAAGAUCAUUGAGUACAAGUACAAAGAGAGAACAAUUAUAUAGGUAAUAAGUCAAAGUAGAAUUAAAUCACAUCACAACCAUAACGAAGUAAACACAAUAAGAAUGAUAAUGAUUGUCACACCCUUUUUUCUCUUGAUGGCGGUUGAAGGGUGUUUCCAAUUUAAGUGAUGGUUUUGAAUAGGGAUUAUUUUAUUUAUAGAUUCGUCGCUUGAAAUUGAGUUAUGGUGUUCCAAGUCACCUUAUUGGAUCCUUAAUUAAAAGGAAAUGAUUCUUUAUUAGUUUGGGAAAAUAGAAGAUUGGGUAAUAAAUUUUAUUGAUCGAGAGGAAGGUAUGAGGCACCCCUUGAGUCCCAUGGUUCUAGCACGGUUACUUUAUUCAACUUAUGCUUUACUUAAAUUAUUUAGCAUAAAUUAUGUUUGCAGGCCUUUAUUCACUCAUUUUUAAUGUCUAAUAUCUGUCUAUAUCUCUUGUAUUAAGCUAGUGAAAAUUAAUUUUAGGACGAUCUUUGCCAAAGUGCACUAUUGCAUCCUCGAAUUAUUUUUAAAACGUCUUAGAAAGAUGCAUACGCCACAUUCUUAAUUGAGACCAAUAUAUUACGCGUGCCUAAAACUUUUCUAACAUCAAAGGUACUUGUUCGUCUCUUGUAACUCGAGACAAUCUUGUCCUAUACAUUUUUACUCUCUUCACCCUUUUAUCUUUUAAAUUUGCAACAAGUCUUGGAUUACUCCACAACUUGCCUCACUCUCUCACAAAUGAUUGUUCCUUCUCUUUUCUUUUCCAUUAUACGAUGGGGUUUAGAAUAAAUCCGCAUCCUAUCUCGCACCCUUACAUAUGUUAAUUAAUGUGAAGUUAUUAGAGACUUAAAUAUACAUAUAUUUUAUACCUAAAAUAUUUCUGACUUAACAAUAGAGAGAUCAAAUUAACAAUAUUAGAUUAUAUACUCAUAAUUUACCUGGUGACUUAAUGGAUUUAUUUUAAAGUAUUUCACAUGGACUCAAAACAAAGAAUCAAGUGAAUUCAAACAACUAAUUGACCAAAUAAUAUAAAUAAUACAAACCAAGGCAUGCUAACAUACAACAAAAAUUAAACAUCUAUAUUAUUAAAAAAUAUUUUGAUUUUUCUAUAUUAAUACCGAAACUGAAUAAUUACCAAAAUAAAUACAAAAACAACAACUAUGAAAGAGUACCCAAUCACUUUAAGUGAACAUAGAGUUUAAAAUAGUAGGUAACAAAAUUGGAAAAAAAAAGUUAUUAUUUUGUAUUUUUAUUUAUUCUUCAAAGUUUUUAUGAAACAAAAUUAUUUAAAUUCCAUUUUUUACUGUAAUUUAUGCAUACAACGUAAAGGUAAACAAAAAUAACGAUAAUUGACCUCCAUUGUUAAACCAAGUAACAAGGAUUUCUUAUUUAGAUGAUCCAUAUUAACCAAUGAUUAAAUCAAUAUAACCGAAAAAUAAAACAAAAUAUAUAAAUAAAUAAGUAAAUAGAUGAAACAUUCCAAGUCAAUAACCUAACCACGCAUAGUAACAACAAAUGGAAAUAAAAAUAACAUCAAAUUAGACAGGUAUCAUGUUACAGUUCAAGUAAUAUUCAUGAAAAUAAAUUAAGGCAGUAGAUGAACCUUUAGAGAAGAUUUCCAAUAUUGAAUUCCAAAAAUAAGUAUAACAUUUGAAAUAGAUCAAUAAAUAAAAUGAAAAUCUUUCAACGGGAGUUAAUACCGACAGUCUCAAAGAGACUCGACGGCAACCAACAAGACUCUUAC